GACGAACGCUGGCGGCGUGCUUAACACAUGCAAGUCGAACGGAGUGGCGAACGGGUGAGUAACACGUGGGUGACCUGCCCUGCACUUUGGGAUAAGCCUGGGAAACUGGGUCUAAUACCGGUUAUUGUGGGAUGGGCCGGCGGCCUAUCAGUUUGUUGGUGGGGUAAUGGCCUACCAAGGCGGCGACGGGUAGCCGGCCUGAGAGGGUGGACGGGCACAUUGGGAGUGUGACACGGGCCAGACUCCUACGGGAGGCAGGUAAGUGGAAGAUUGCAUGAUGGGGGGAAGCCUGGUGCAGCGACGCGGCGUGGGGGAUGACGACCUUCUGGUUGUAAACUACUUUCACCAUCGACACGGUAGAUUGAGAAGAAGCACCGGCUAACUACGUGCCAGCAGCCGCGGUAAUUC
rnacentral:rRNA from 1 species